rnacentral:rRNA from 1 species
ACGAACGCUGGCGGCGUGCUUAACACAUGCAAGUCGAACGGAAAGGCCCUGCUUGCAGGGUCCUCGAGUGGCGAACGGGUGAGUAACACGUGGGUGAUCUGCCCUGCACUUCGGGAUAAGCCUGGGAAACUGGGUCUAAUACCGGAUAGGAGCCAUUUUUAGUGUGAUGGUUGGAAAGUUUUUUCGGUGUAGGAUGAGCUCGCGGCCUAUCAGCUUGUUGGUGGGGUAAUGGCCUACCAAGGCGGCGACGGGUAGCCGGCCUGAGAGGGUGGACGGCCACAUUGGGACUGAGAUACGGCCCAGACUCCGACGGGAGGCAGCAGUGGGGAAUAUUGCACAAUGGGCGCAAGCCUGAUGCAGCGACGCCGCGUGGGGGAUGACGGCCUUCGGGUUGUAAACUCCUUUCGCUAGGGACGAAGCUUUUUGUGACGGUACCUAGAUAAGAAGCACCGGCUAACUACGUG